UGGGCUGUGGCCAAAUGGCAUAGGCGCGGCGAGCCCUCGUACAUCAUGGGACGCAAGUGACCAUGACAAAGGCGAGCAAGCACCCGGACAGUAUUGCAGGUUCGAGUCCUGCCAGCCCGU
rnacentral:tRNA from 1 species